rnacentral:misc_RNA from 1 species
UACAUACAUAUAUUUAUAUAUAUAUACUGUUCUGUAUCUUAUUCUGUUACUGAUCCCUCUUAUUGAUACUCCACCCGUACACUAUAUACACAGACUCCUACUAUACAUACAUACACAUAUACACAGUGUCUGUCGCUUCUCCCAGCUCUAGCUCUUCGUUCUCUGUCGAUCUAUUUAUUUAUUUAUCUAUCUAUCUGUCUGUCUGUCUCUGCUCGCCACUGACAAUAUUUCCAAGGUUUCAAUCCCCACUACUAAUCACCAUCACCACCACUUCCAUCUCCACACAGACAUACCCAUAAAAUGGCUCUAGUGUAGGUCUAAUACAGUCGUCAACGUCGCACCAUCCAGGCGUCGUCUAUUGGAUAGUUGACAACCAACUAAACACAAUUAUAUUCCAUCCACACAAUUAAAAAAAGCUUCUAGUAUAUAAGGAUAUCUCUCUCUCUCUCUCUGUCUCUCUCUAUCUAUCUAUCUCUCUCUCUCUCUCUCAUAUCCAUGUACUAAUGCAUUCUUCGUCGCACUGUGUUUUGUACACAUACGAAUCUACACCCAUUCACUACCGCCUCUUACACAUUCACAAUUUCACAGACACGCACUCACACACACAUACAUAUAGUCUCGUAUACGGAUGUUAGUUCCUAUCGUCGCUCACACAGCAGUUACUAAAGAACAAACACAGUAAACAAGGACUAAAACAAUGGAAUAAUUUUCGACAAUAACAAAAGCAACAUCGAUUUUUAUCUAGAAUGUAAUCCCUGUAAACAGUGAAAAAUUGUCUAAAACUGUUGAUAAUGGUGACUAUUAUUGUUGUUAUGUCUUGAUAAUUACGAUAAUAAUGUUGGUAUUCGUUGUAAGGAGACUGCAGCUACAAGUGGUUGUUUUCUCGUGAAAUGGCAUCGCACAGUAAAGACGGCAGCCAUCCUGCCGGAACUGGUGCAGUCUGCGACAGUAUGGAUCGUUUAGGGGAUGUUUGGCAGCCCCUAGCGAUGGACGAUCAAGGAGGAUCGAGUCAAGAAAAAUGCUGGACGACUACAGCAACAGCAACAAUACCCAUACCCACGAGAACAAUAGCGAUCAGUCCUUCAUCGACUGCGACUGGCUCUAUGGAAGGUCAAUCUACUGACCACCACUACAACCUUCACCACAACUACCCAUUGACGAGUGUACAGAUGUCAUCGUCACCACCCCUAUCAUCAUCACCACCAUCAUUAUCAUCAUCAUCGUCAUCAUCAUUGUUGUAUCAGUCUCGCUGUAGAUCAGCUUCGUCGUCGUCCGUGGGGACGGUUGCGGCGGCGUCGAGUUACCCUUACAGCCACGCAGCACACUCGGGUGGGUCUUCGAUUGGACUUACUCGAACGACCACCACCACGUCGGUAGCCUCCACUUUGUUGUACGAGAACCCGGAGUUGCGUGAACAUGAACCUAUGACUGGACUACUAGGACUUAUUCCCUCGAAGGCCCUUAAAGGGAUGUUUAACGAGUGUGAACUGUUGUUGACCUGUAUAGCUGCAAGCGGGGAAUACAUAUGUCUUGGUACCAAUGUUGGCCUCGUCUUCAUGUUCAACAGAAAGAAACGUUGCCUGGAGAGGUUACGCUGUGAGAAAAAUGAUGAAUUGGUGACGUGUGUGAAGAUCCAGCAUGGGAUUGACUACCAAGUGGCUGCUGGUACUUCUAUGGGAGGUUUAUAUAUGUUUAACAUUCCAUCAGAUCUGGUAGCUAACCGAAAGCUACCUCAACGUUUCUCUGUCCAAGAUGUCCACAGUACACCUUUGACGUGUCUAGAAUGGAGUCCAAAUGGUAUGAAAUUGUUCAGUGGAGACAAGAAAGGUGUGGUAGUUUGUACCGAAGUGGAUUUCCAGAAGGGCCGGUGCCAGUCUUCGGUGCUGCUAACAGAAUUCUUGUCUGAAAUUGUUCAACUCAGCUAUUUCCAAAGGGCUCUUUUAGUGUCCACAAGCAUGCGUGCCCUGAUUUGUCGAACAGACAGAGACAAUGAAAUUAUCCAAGUUGGACAAAAGAAACGAAAAAUACCUGGUAACUAUGGUGCUUGCUUCAUCCCGAUGUUGUGCAAAUUAGCUGAUGCCCAGUUGUACGCUGGACGACCCGGUCAACGUGUUUGGAUGUCUAACAUUGAUGGCGUAGUGCAGGCCACUCACAUCUUUAAGCACCUCACUACAGACUGUCGGGAAAUCCCCCUCUUGCAUUACGAUCACUAUCACUCCACUGACAACUUGGCAGUUACAGACCAGCAGUUUGGUCACCUUUGUCCUUACGGUGACAGCCGGCAAAUUGUCACCUGGAAUAAGAAAGCCCUCUUUCUUCUGGACCCCGAAAAGAACGUGGUCAUUGGUAAACAAGACCAGUUCGGUCACAUCAUUGAUGUGGCAAUUAAUUCAAAAGAAAUAUUUGUCUUAACACGGACUUCAAGCAGACAAGUCAUUCGGAUAUCUCCACAACCAGAAUGUCAAAGAUAUAAAGUUGGACUGACCGUCAACAUCACUGCGGCCAACGCAUCCAAGAACGAAGACGAAUAUCGCAACAGAUCCAAUUCUCCAAUCCAUUUCCUUCCAGCCAAUAUUUUCGGAAUCAUUCGACCGAAAGAAUCUAAGUAUUCACCAUCAGCUUACUCAAGGAAAUCUUCCGAGCCUAAAAGCUCUGAAUUUCAGCUCCCUAAAGAAGCUCGUAGUCGAACACGCUCUUUAUCCUCGCAAGAUGAUCUUAACCGUUCGAGCGACAGCAACAGCUCACAAAGAACUUCUCUAGACUUUGCAAAAUCCAUGUUCCAACCAAUCGAGAAAAGAGGCAAAUCGGACACUAGCAAGGAGUCUGUCAGUAAGUCUCCCCGAACGGUGUUGCCUCCGUUGAUAACCCUCCCCUCUGAUGACAUCAUCCAACUUGAAUUGUUUUCCCAAGCUAUUGACAAUGAUUCCGGUUACGAUCCUCACACGGCAAACGAGGAAAUCUGCACAGGUAUUGCAGCUACUGAGCUUAUCGGUGCCGAUGCCAUGUCGGAAGACAAAGGUGGCUCUGCUGCUGAGCCAGUGUCGCACUCAGAGCGAAAGAACUCCAAAAUGUUGGUGAGACGCAGCUUCGUCGACAGGAUUGACAUGUCAAAUUACGACGACAAUGAGAUCGUUUUCAAAAGUAAGACGAAGAAGAAGAAACAUGGUUCCGGUAUUAAAUCCAAAAAACGCUUCAGCUGUAUUGAAACUACCUCCCAGCUCUCAGAUACUUGUUCUGUGGACAGCCUUGAAAUAUCAGCCACCCCAAACAGUGUCUGUGAUAACAUCAAGGCUUCUUCUUCGAACCUUCAGCACAAAACCCUGACUAACAAUUCUUUUGAGCCAUCACUAAAUCUCAGUGACCAACUCGUUCUGACUGCAACUUCUCCAGGAAGCUGCCAGUCUCUGUCUUCGACCGACAACUCUUCUGCCACAUCUCCAGAGAAUCCAGAAAAUUUUACCGAUUCAGAUGAGAAUCUAAUACCUCCAUCUCUCCCUGUAAUCACCUGUUGUAGGUCUGUUGAGAAAGAAACUGAUGAAACACUGAUGAAAUUUAAAGAAACCAAGGUUGUCAAGUCUGAACCAAUCAGAACUGACAUUGCCAGUGAUAAUACAUCUUUGAAAGCAGAACUUAAUAAUAGUUCUGCUGAAAAAACUCAGAGUUUGCCUCGCAACACAGUUCAAAUAGACAAUGAUGAAGGCAAUAAAGGUAUUCAGGAAAACACCACAAAGAUUUUUGUCCAGGACUUGAGUUCUAGUUCUGAUUCCAGUCCCUUGGGUGAAACUCCUGUCAGUUCGUCGACUGGAAGUAAUAAAUUAUCCGAGGAUCGCAAAACAGCUGCUCCUUUAUCCAGACGCAAUGAACCCAUAAAAAGUGCAUCCUCUCCGCAACUAUCCUCAGAGAAUACGUCAGAAAGUGAGCAACCCGAAUGCAACAACUCUCUGCAUGUCUGCACCGUUGCUGACAAGGCUUUGUCACCUUUAGAAAAAAUUGUCGACAGUACAGGUAACAUGACAUUAGAAAACGGUGAAAAUGUUUCGUAUUACACGGAGAGCAAUGACGCUAAUGAAACAGCUCGUUAUGACUUUGACUCUCCUAAUCACUGUCCGAGACCUGCCAAUCUUUCAACCGAUGUUAAUCCUUCACCACAGCAGCUGACCCAUGAAACUUCAUCCAAACCACCAUUUCACAGGUCAGAGAGUGCAGAUUCUACAACCGAAGAAGACUUUUAUAGAAUGUAUCGAUCUUCAUCUUCUGUUAGCUUUCUAGAAUCUCCUCUACAGCCUUCUAAUAAUGGUGUCACACAUCUUUCCAGUUCUGAUAACAAAUCAAGUUCUGCUUUCACGAAUUCCAAAAAUCUCUCCAAACUCCAAGAGCAAGAAAAAGAUAGGAAAAACGAAGUGUUGCCAAAGCAAAUUCUUCUACCAAAGUUAGUUAACAGUUGGUUGGUGUGGAGUGUUCCAGAAAAUAUCCACAGUUUAUCUGCGACUCAUUCACACAUUUGGUACACAGACAGAAGUGAAAACCUCUUCUAUCGACAAACAGAUUCGAUGUCAGGAGCCUGGCAUAAAGUUGACUUGUACGCCCAUCAAAUUGCUGUUUCACGCUCUGGCAAUAUAUUUUGGCGCCUCUACCAAAACACAGUGUACGUAGCUAUAGGAGUGAGUGCACGAAAGCCCGAGGGUAAAAAACAGGUGGAAGCCAUCCGAGACGUAUCCUAUAUUGCUGUCGACAAUGACUGUGGAUGGUAUAUCAAGGUAAAUGGAGAGAUAGCUGUGCAUAAAAAGCUUUCAAGAGAGCGACCAGCAUACCGUAGUCAGAAAAUACCCUGUGAAUAUAACCUCAUCCAACUAGCAUGUCUGAAUCAAGUAAUCUGGGGCCUUACCAAAGAAGGACAGCUUGUGUGUCGAGCUGGUGUCUCUGACCAGCAUCCAGAAGGAGACGAAUGGUGUAAAUAUGAGGGCCCAUCUAACUGGCAUGUUCCUGAAAUGAUGAAUAUCGCAUUAGGUGACAACAACAUUGGCUGGUGUGUGGAUACCCAAGGUCGGGUGUGGUUCUGUACAAAUGUAACUCGAGAACAUCCUUUCGGACAAGGAAUGUGGUACCAGGUUGCCUUUAGUGAUUAUUUCAUGAUGGACCCAACGAUGACCGACAUGAUGAGGUCUGUGGCCGAACGACUCGACCCACAGAAGUUGUCCCAAUUGCUAAUAUCUCCAAGAGGGGGCGGACUGAUUGCUGCUACGCAUGUCGGCACCUGGUUUGUGCCAAGUUAUAGAAAUGUCAUUCAAGUUUGUAAAAGUAUCAUGCAAGGUCAUCACUGGACCAUAACUCCACCCCUUGGCAUGGCUAUAUCAUCGUCUUGGAGAUUAGUUAGUGCUGGUGCAUACACCGAAGAACAUGAAUAUAUCUGGGCACAGCAUGUCAAUGGAGAAAUGGUGAUAUUCUCACCGGAAGCUCGUCACUUCAAGAUGGUCUCCCAACCUUCAAUUACAAACCACUUCAUUUGUAUUAGUGCCUCCGAAGAUUCCCUGUGGGGUCUUGCUACCAAUGGAACCAUAUAUGUCCGCAGUGCUGUCCGCAGUAGUUGUCCUGAAGGAAUUAACUGGGUGCGAUUGGAUCUAGAGCAGCUAGGAAACAAUUUCUUUACCCAUCUGUCCUGCGGCAGUGACUGUAUCUGGGCUGUGGAUAACAAAGGCAGCGUCUACCACAAGUUUGGAGUGCAUCCUCCGUCUCAUACUGUCUUCACGCCUGUCUGGCUCCAGGUGGACCCAGAGCCCAAUGGUAUAUGCUUCACUCAAGUAAUAGCCGGACCUGAGAACUGGAUGGUGUGGGCUAUUGACAACCGAAAGCAAGUGUACAUGAGGGACGGUAUCUCAGAUAAAAUGUCUAUUGGAACGAAAUGGUGCCAGAUUACUGGUACCCCUGCAAAUCAGUUAAGUAUAAGCAAGUUAACUGUCUGGGCCCUAAAUCCUGAGGGAGAAAUAUUGCACAGACUUGGCGUCUCUAUUGCUAACCGAGGUGGAGAUUACUGGAAGAAAAUACCUGGUGUAUUUUCUUUUCUAUCAGCCUCUCCGUCUAACGAGCUGUGGGCAAUCAGUAAAGAACUGCAGCUGUAUCGUCAUCACACGAAGUUUAUUUAUCGCAAACGUCAAUCAGCAAUGCCUGCUGCACCUGCUGACCUGCUGGACCAAUCGACAAUGGAAGAUGAUUGGGAAAUUGUAUAAUUACUUACCACCACCACCACCGCCGCCGCCCAUUUACACACACACACACACACACACACACACUCACAUACAUACAAACACACACAACACUUACAUACAUACAUGCAAAUAAUCACAGACACAGAAUAACAUGUAAAUAUUUGUGUGUGUAUUUGUGUAUGCGUGCGAUUAAUAAUUGUUCAAAAACCACAGAAUGUAAAUCUGUCUUGUUUGCGACAGUCUUCGCACAGAUCCCUGGCUUCUUCCCUUUCCCCGCUUAUCUCUGUCCCACUGACCUCGACCUUUGAACUCUGGGUACUCAUUAGCACUGCUACCGAUUGGAGACAAUAAGAAGAAGAAGGCUAUAUGCGGCACGAAAGGCAUUUGCAGAAGCGGCUUAUGUCAGAUAUAUAAUCAUUGUGUGUAUUCAUUUCAUCUCUCUUUAACAAUCAUGUUAUUGCAUACAGCUCCUCACAGCCCUAUAUUAAUGUAGAUAUGUGUGUGCACACACACAAACACACACACUAUGUGUGCACGCACAUGUGUAUGUGAGAGAGUAUUUCGAUGUUACAAAUCUGAAAGGAAAAAAAUAUACUCAACACAUGGGUGUGGUUUAUUUGUGUAUAAAAUUCGCAUCACUUAAUGGGUAAAAAAAAAAAAAAUAAUCAGUAAGUUGAUGUCUUUGUAGGUUUGGGACAACAAUGAUAUUAAUUAUAAUAAUAAUAAUAAUAAUAAUAAUGAUGAUGGUAUUGGUCCAUCUCUCCUGAGUUUGUGUGAGUGUGU